rnacentral:rRNA from 1 species
AGCGAACGCUGGCGGCAGGCCUAACACAUGCAAGUCGAGCGGGCAUCGCAAGAUGUCAGCGGCAGACGGGAGAGUAACACGUGGGAACAUGCCCUUCGGUUCGGAAUAACCCAGGGAAACUUGGACUAAUACCGAAUACGUCCGUAAGGAGAAAGAUUUAUCGCCGAAGGAUUGGCCCGCGUCCGAUUAGCUAGUUGGUGAGGUAACGGCUCACCAAGGCGACGAUCGGUAGCUGGUCUGAGAGGAUGAUCAGCCUCACUGGGACUGAGA